rnacentral:SRP_RNA from 1 species
GCCAGGUGUGGUGGUGGGCACCUGUAAUCCCAGCUACUUGGGAGGCUGAGGCAGGAGAAUUGCUUGAACCCAGGAGGCUGAGGUUGCAGUGAGCCAAGACUGCGCCAUUGCACUCCAGACUGGGUAACAGAGCAAGACUCUGUCUCAA